rnacentral:rRNA from 1 species
AAGUCGAGCGGCAAGGGUAGCAAUACCCCCUAGAGCGGCGGACUGGUGAGUAACGCGUGGGUGACCUACCCUUAGGUUGGGGAUAGCCAUUAGAAAUAGUGGGUAAUACCGAAUAUGGUUGUUUUGCUAUGGCGAGACAAAGAAAGGAGCCUUGGCUCCGCCUGAGGAUGGGCCCGCGUCCCAUUAGGUAGUUGGUGAGGUAAAGGCCCACCAAGCCCGAGAUGGGUAGCCGGCCUGAGAGGGUGAACGGCCACACUGGGACUGAGAUACGGCCCAGACUCCUACGGGAGGCAGCAGCUAAGAAUAUUCCGCAAUGGACGAAAGUCUGACGGAGCGACGCCGCGUGUAUGAAGAAGGCCGAAAGGUUGUAAAGUACUUUUCUUGCUGAAGAAUAAGCGUGGGAGGGAAUGCCCGCGUGAUGACGGUAAGCAAGGAAUAAGCCCCGGCUAAUUACGUGCCAGCAGCCGCGGUAACACGUAAGGGGCGAGCGUUGUUCGGAAUUAUUGGGCGUAAAGGGCGCGUAGGCGGUUACGUAAGUCUGGCGUGAAAGGCAGGGGCUUAACUCCUGGACUGCGCUGGAAACUGCAUAACUUGAGUCAUGGAGGGGGAGUUGGAAUUCCUGGUGUAGGGGUGAAAUCUGUAGAUAUCAGGAAGAACACCGGUGGCGAAGGCGAACUUCUAGCCAAUGACUGACGCUGAGGCGCGAAAG